AUCUAAUAGAAACUGAAUGCCCUA
rnacentral:siRNA from 1 species